rnacentral:rRNA from 1 species
UACGUAGGGUGCGAGCGUUAAUCGGAAUUACUGGGCGUAAAGCGUGCGUAGGUGGACAUCUAAGUCGCUUGUGAAAUCCCCGGGCUUAACCUGGGAACUGCAGUCGAGACUGAAUGUCUAGAGUAUGGUAGAGGAAAGUAGAAUUCCCGGUGUAGCGGUGAAAUGCGUAGAUAUCGGGAGGAAUACCAGUGGCGAAGGCGGCUUUCUGGACUAAUACUGACACUGAGGUACGAAAGCGUGGGGAGCAAACAGG